rnacentral:rRNA from 1 species
AGCUUUUUAAAAGGCGGCGUAAGCUGUCGCUAUGGGGAUGGGCCCCCGCGGUGCAUUAGCUAGUUGGUAAAGGUAAAAGGGCUUACCAAGGCGAUGAUGCAUAGCCGAGUUGAGAGACUGAUCGGCCACAUUGGGACUGAGACACGGCCCAAACUCCUACGGGAGGCAGCAGUAGGGAAUCUUCCACAAUGGACGCAAGUCUGAUGGAGCAACGCCGCGUGAGUGAAGAAGGUUUUCGGAUCGUAAAGCUCUGUUGUUGGUGAAGAAGGAUAGAGGUAGUAACUGGCCUUUAUUUGACGGUAAUCAACCAGAAAGUCACGGGCUAACUACGUGCCAGCAGCCGCGGUAAAU